ensembl:lncRNA
UCUCUGUGUCUGGUGGUGGAGGAGGAGUUUGGAAGUGAGUGGUAGCUACAGUUCUGGAGGUGGAGGUGGCAGCUACGGUUCCAGCUCUGGAGGAGGCAGAUAUAGCUCCAGUGGUGGAGGUGGCAGCUAUGGCUCUGGAGGAGGCAGAGGUUCUGGCUCUGGAGGAGGAAGGGGCUCCGGUUCUGGAGGAGGCAGCUAUGGAUCCUCAGGAGGUCGGGGCUCCAGCUCCGGAGGAGGAGGCAGCAGCAGCUCUGGUGGUGGCUCUGGGGGUGUCAAGAGCUCCAGUGGCAGUUCUAGCAUGAAAGUCACCUCUACCAGUUAUUCUACAGCCACCAAUUAAAGCCAGAGCUCCCUACCCUGCUAGCUGUCCUUUAGAUCAAUGUCUGUGUUUGUUUUCAGUCAAUUCUUGAAGUCAAAGACUUCAACUUUACUUGAGGAAAAUAAAAAGUAGUGGACUGCAGCAGUUCAUCUUGUUUUCCUAAAGCCCUCUAAUUUCUUUCUCUGAUCUUGAUUCUUAAAGGUUUUUUUGAGUUAUCCAACCAGUGGGCACCUCCACCUCUUGAGUUCCACUGAGCUUCAUCUCUGUGGGUACAUAGGAAGGGUUGCUGAUGAUCCUGGCCUUUUAGAGCCAUGUUCUCCCCAUUUUUCCCUUUGGUAGCUAUUCUCUAUCCUGGCCUACAUCAUCAGGUUUUCUCUCCUCCUGUGUCUUGACUACUGAAGCCAUAUCUGAGUAUGAAAGACCACUUCCCUUGAUUAAUCAUGAGGCUGCAGCUUGAAAAAAAUCCACAUUCAUCACUGCCCACUCUACAUUUCAAAAGUUUUCCCCAAGCCAAACAGGAGAGCCAUUUCAAUCCACCCCAGGGAGUGUGUCUCCAUCGUAUAGCAACAAAUUCUGUGUUGUUGUUGUUGUUUUUGUACAAGAUGUAACCUGGUUGGAUGACUUUCCUGGAAGAAGUCUCAAAGUCUCUGUUUUCUUGUGUGUCUCCAAUAAAUUGCAUUUAAAAUUUGCAAAUUUGUCUUUUGAGUAUUUUUCAUGAGAAAGCCAUCUCUCUCUUAAGACUCACUGGUAAACUGUGGUAUAAAGUCCCUAGUAGAGGCAUGGCUUAUAAUAAAGUCUAAAAGACAGAAUACACUCAAUUGAAAAUACAGGAAAGUUUGUACUAUAACAUCAAACAUAGCUGAUGAAUGUAAUACAAGUCAGGUUUAGAUAUACUGAGGGAACAUUGAGUAAAUGGAAUUGAGCUAGGCUAAUUAGAAUAGGCUUACAAGUUGUCAAAUGACAGAGUGUAUAGAGCAUUUAAUUAAUUAAGGAAGACCUGAGUUCAGUCUUAAACACUUACUAGCUAUGUGUCCCUGGGCAAAUCAUUAACCCAUUCCCCUAGUUUCUAAAAAUGUAAAAUAAUAACAGCUAGCUCCCCUGGCUCUUGUGAAGAUGAAAUAAAAUAAUACUUAUAAAGGGCUUUGCAAAUCUUUCAAUUCCAUGCAAAUUUUUUUUGUAUUUGAAACGGCAGGAAAUCUCAACAUAAUUUAUGUUGUUUAUUCAUUCUAUCUUCAACUGCCUUUUAGUUAUCUCCAACUGAAUGAUCCUUAGACUCCUUAAACUCACCUUGUGCAAAACUGAGCAUGAUCUUUCCCCCUAAACCUUCCACUCUCUCUCACUUCCCAAUUUCUGUCGAGGAUACCACCAUUAUCUCAAGCAUCUAGACUCACAACCAAGAGGUUCUUCUUCAACUCAUUUUCUCCCUUCCAAUCAGUGGUCCAAUCAGUUCUUUCAUUUUUACCUUCAUAAUUGCUCCUUCACUUCUCUAAUACUGUAACCAUCUUAAUGAAGGUCCUUAGCAUUUCACAUGUAGAUUACUGCAUUCACCUUUUGGUUGAUCUCCCUGCCUCAAGUAUCUGCUGACUCCAGUCCAUCUCUCACUUUAGAACCAUAUCACAAGAAACUUUAAUGGCUUCCUGUUAGCUCCAGGAGCAAUAAAAAGUCCUUGUUUGGCAUUCAAAGCCCUUCAGAAUUUAGCCACCUUCUUCCUUUCCAAUCUUCUUACAUCUUUACACAAGUAGUCUUCCACACACAACAUUCCAUUGGCCAUCUCUGGAUAUUGUCACUGUGUUCCCCCAGACCUGAGAUAUUCUCAUUUGUGAUUUCUGCCUCCUGCAUUCCUUGGCUUCAUUAAAGUCUCAGCUGAAUUGUCAUCUUCUCCAGAAGUCUUUUUAAAAUGUCUGUUAAUCCAAGCACCUUUUCUCUGUUCAUUAUUUUCCAUUUAUCCUGUUUUCUUACAGUUUACUCCAUGUUUUCUCCUUCAUUAAAUCAUGAGUUUCAUGAGGACAGA